rnacentral:piRNA from 1 species
UGGUAAGGAUGUUAGAAGCUCCCUAGGC